rnacentral:ncRNA from 2 species
AUGCUGCCGUCGCCUUCCGGUGCCUGUACGCAGGAGAAUCGGAAACGCGGUGCCAAUCCGCGACGUGCCCAACGCUGUAAGGGGGACCCGGCGAGCAUCAUGCCACUGAUUGCAAAUCGGGAAGGCGCUCGCCCUGGGAACGAUCCCAAGUCAGAAGACCGGCCGGAAGGACGAGGCCCGG